AGAAAUGGUGUCGGUUUGUGCGUGGGUGGUGCUGUUGCAGUGUUUGUUGAUUACAAUAGCAGCCGACAAAGGUAUAUACUUUGCCUGCUACAAUGCGGAUGACAACGAAAAGUCAUAUAUUGGUACAAAAUCAAAACUUUUUGACAAUUCGUCGUCAAACAGUUUGUGCAAGACAAGAAGUAAUUCAAGCACGCUUUGCGCAUGUCAUGGCUAUUCCGUGAGCUUGAAAAAUAUUACAACAACUUCGUC